rnacentral:lncRNA from 1 species
GGAGGCAAGAUGUGUGAGCAGCAUCCAAAGAGGCCUGGGCUUCAGUUGUGGAGAGGGAGAGAGCCAGGUUGGAAUGGGCAGCAGGUAGGGAGAUCCCUGGGGAGGAGCUGAAGCCCAUUUGGCUUCAGUGUCCCCCAAACCCCCACCACCCUCUUCCUAGGCCGCCCUCCCCACUGUUACCAACAUGAAGCUGCUCGCAGCAACUGUGCUACUCCUCACCAUCUGCAGCCUUGAAGGAGCUUUGGUUCGGAGACAGGCAAAGGAGCCAUGUGUGGAGAGCCUGGUUUCUCAGUACUUCCAGACCGUGACUGACUAUGGCAAGGACCUGAUGGAGAAGGUCAAGAGCCCAGAGCUUCAGGCCGAGGCCAAGUCUUACUUUGAAAAGUCAAAGGAGCAGCUGACACCCCUGAUCAAGAAGGCUGGAACGGAACUGGUUAACUUCUUGAGCUAUUUCGUGGAACUUGGAACA